rnacentral:rRNA from 1 species
UGGACGUUACUCGCAGAAUAAGCACCGGCUAACUCUGUGCCAGCAGCCGCGGUAAUACAGAGGGUGCAAGCGUUAAUCGGAAUUACUGGGCGUAAAGGGAGCGUAGGUGGCUCGAUAAGUCAGAUGUGAAAUCCCCGGGCUCAACCUGGGAACUGCAUCUGAUACUGUUGAGCUAGAGUAUGUGAGAGGAAGGUAGAAUUCCAGGUGUAGCGGUGAAAUGCGUAGAGAUCUGGAGGAAUACCGAUGGCGAAGGCAGCCAUCUGGCCUAAUACUGACGCUGAGGUACGAAAGCAUGGGGA